rnacentral:rRNA from 1 species
AUUGAACGCUAGCGGCAUGCCUAACACAUGCAAGUCGAACGAGUGGCGGACGGGUGAGUACUGUCUGUGAAACUUCCUGAUGGAGGGGGAUAACUACUGGAAACGGUAGCUAAUAACGCACACCGUCGCAUGUGCCCAGAUGGGAUUAGCUAGUAGGUGGGGUAAAGGCUAACCUAGGCGACGAUCCCUAGCUGGUCUGAGAGGAUGACCAGCCACACGGGGACUGAGACACGGCCCAGACUCCUACGGGAGGCAGCAGUGGGGAAUAGUGGACAAUGGGGGAAAGCCUGAUGCAGCCAUGCCGCGUGUAUGAAGAAGGCCUUCGGGUUGUAAAGUACUUUCAGCGGGGAGGCGUUACCCGCAGAAGAAGCACCGGCUAACUACGUGCCAGCAGCCGCGGUAAUAC